UACGAAGGGGGCUAGCGUUGCUCGGAAUCACUGGGCGUAAAGCGCACGUAGGCGGCUUUUUAAGUCAGGGGUGAAAUCCUGGAGCUCAACUCCAGAACUGCCUUUGAUACUGGGAAGCUUGAGUCCGGGAGAGGUGAGUGGAACUCCGAGUGUAGAGGUGAAAUUCGUAGAUAUUCGGAAGAACACCAGUGGCGAAGGCGGCUCACUGGCCCGGUACUGACGCUGAGGAGCGAAAGCGUGGGGAGCAAACAGG
rnacentral:rRNA from 1 species